CCGGUUUGUUAGGUCAGGUCAGCUACAUUAUAAAUACUGUAAAACUAAACAACCAUUAAAAUUAAUUUUUAUUAUUUUUAAUGACCGUUCAGUUUCAAAGUAUUUAUAGCUACUGUAGCUGACCUGACCUAAUCUACCUUUGUCCCGUUUUGUUAGGUCAGGUCAGUUACAUUAUAAAUACUUAAAACUAUACAAGUAAAAUUAAUUGAUAUUAUUAUUAAUUUCCGUUUAUUUUGAAGUAUUUAUCAUGUAACUAACCUUACCUAAUGGAAAAUUUCUGUUAUUUAGGCAUUCACGCACACACGGCAAAAUAUAAAAUGGCGUCUGUUGAAUGAUUACAUAGGGCUUGUAUUGCAAAAUAAGAACGGCGAUAUCUCCAAAAGUAAUUGGAAUUUUUAAUCUCCGCAGGCAGUUUUGAAAAUAGGACGUAAAAGAGCAUAUAAUGAAAGUUAUUUCAUAUUUGUACGAUUUUUUUUGGCGCUAAUCCGUACAAUACAGAUUUACCGUGAUUUUACAACGAUUGGACCAUGGAGAGUCUGUAAUUAAAUUAGCUUCAGAGUUGGGUGUAGGGGUGACUACGAUAAAAGAUUGGAAAAAAACCCGUAAAGAUCUGGAAACGUACUCAACAACAGUUGAGACAGAAGAUGCCUUAAAAAGUAGAAAAAUGUUGAAAAAACCAAAACUUGAACUUGUCGAUGAAGCAUUAUGGGUUUGGUUUUGUCAGGAAAGGCGCAAGGGAAUACCAUUGUCAGGCCCCAUCGUAAAGGAAAAAGCCAUAAAAUUGCAUGAAAAGCUGGGAGGUGAUCUAGAAAAAUUUAGCGCUAGCGAAGGGUGGCUACAUAAAUGGAAGUUGCGUCAUGGCAUACGACAUCUUAUUAUUGCGGGGGAAAAACUCUCAGCUGAUGAUAAUGCUGCUACAGAAUUUGUAGCAACAUUUGAGAAGUUGGUCACAGAACAGAAACUUGUACCCGAACAAGUGUACAAUGUAGAUGAAACAGGCCUAAAUUACAAAAUGCUUCCAAACACCACUCUAGCUGCUAAAAAUGAACCUGUGUUAGGAACAAAGCUGGCUAAAGACAGGCUCACAAUUGCAACUUGUAGCAAUGCCACGGGAAGCCACAAAAUGCCGCUGUUCGUCAUAGGAAAAUCUAAGAAACCAAGAGCAUUCAAAAAUCUUUACAUGGCAACACUUCCAGUUUUCUAUCGGAAUCAAUCAUCUGUUUGGAUCUAUGGCGAUUUAUUUAAGGAGUGGUUUUUUGGUGAAUUUGUACCCGCAGUAAAAAAACAUUUAAUGUCUAAAAACUUACCUGCUCGUGCUGUUUUGCUGUUAGAUAACGCUCCUAGUCACCCCUCUGAAUGUGAAUUAAAUAAAGGAAACAUCAAGGCUUUAUUUUUACCGCCCCAUGUUACACCUUUAAUACAACCUAUGGAUCAGGGCGUCAUCGAGUUGUUAAAGAGAAGAUACAGAAGAAAAUAUGUCGGCUCUCUGCUGGACAAAACAGAAGAAGGAGGUAACCUUUUUGAGCCGAUGAAAAGUUUCAACAUAAAAGACGCAAUCUACACCGUUGCUGCAGCCUGGGACGAAAUUAAUCAAACUACCCUUCAGAAGGCUUGGAAAAAGAUUUGGCCAUCAUUGAAACAAGAAGAACCUGAGACAGAAGCACAAGUUGAGACAGACAACACAUAAGUAUUACAAAAUUUACAAGUGUUUCAGCAUGAUCUCCAGAUGAAUGAUGUAGAAGAGUGGUUUGUUGAAGCUGAUGUUUCGGAAGACACCAAUGAAGAACUAAAUGACGACGAAAUUAUCGCUGUUGUGCAGAACAAAGCCGUGGAAGAAGAUAUUGACUCGGAUGAAGACGAAACCACCGGUGACAACGUAGUGAGUCAUUCUGCUGCUAAGGACGCCUUCGAAGUUGCGCUGAAAUACAUUGAGCAACAUCCAAAUGCAAACCCAAUGGACGUAUUGUGGGCAAAAAAGUGGAGGGACACUUCUGCAAAGUCAAGAUUGACAAAAUUAAAACUAAAGUCCAUUACUGAAUUCUUUAAAUUUGGUAUGCUUAGAUUUUAUUGAUCUCAUUUAAUUUAAAAACAGUAAAUGUUUGAAAUAUAUACAGCAACAUUUUUAUAAGUACAUACUAUACAAUAAAGUUGUAUUACAGUACGAUAUAGCUGUUUUUCUAUCUGAGAAAGUCGUUUUUUUUGCUCCUCCCGAUAUCCGACCUUUUGGCCGUUCCGACCAUGGCCUGGUCCCGUCAUGGUCGGAUAUGCGAGGUUCUACUGUACUUUUAUUCUAUGCUCUUUAGCUUCCUCUUUUCAUUAAACCCGGCGGAGAUAGAAAUUUCAAAUAUUUAAGGAGAUAUCGAAUUUUUUAAUUUCCAUCACAAUACCUGUGCAUUCAUGCGGUGCAGACAAUUGUUUAUUGUUUACGAGUAUGAAUUUUUUUUUUCGCCACUACAUCAUUUUCUACUAAUGGCAAAGGAAUUGAACCCGCCUCUAACUUAGGUGAGUUUUUAACGUUUCAAAUUUUAAUGUUUUAUUUGUUAUUUGGAUAUUGUUGCACAACUAAUAAGUAUAAAAAAAUUACGUGAGUUCCUACUGUUAAUCCUUUGUCCCGGUUUGUUUGGUCAGGUCAGUUACAAUAUAAAUACUUUAAAACUAAACAACCAUUAAAAUUAAUUCACAUUAUUUUUACUGAGGAUAAGUUAGACUCGAAUCUGAGAUUAAAAUCUGAAAACGUACCAUAAUUAUAGUACCGUACUAUAAAAACGUGCAAAAGCUAACCAAUGGCUUGGUGCAAGAAAGACAUAUGUAAAUAUUUAAUAAUUAUGUACAACUUUAUAGGGAAAAAUAUUAAAAUAAAUUAAAUUAGUAUAUAGCACUUAUAAAAAAGAUUUAUAUACAGGUACCUCAUCUUAAAGGGCACCCACUUGAGUACCACAGGGCACAUCAGAUUCGUUUUUACACAGGUUUCUGCUACAUGUCCAGUCCUGUUAACUUAGAAAUUUGGACUUCCGAAAUGUCGAAUUCGCCAAGUUAAUGAAUAUAUUUAAGAAGACUCGAAUUAUAAAACCUAUAGAGAGGUACCUCACCUUAAAGGGCACACACUUGAGUACCACAGGGCACAUCAGAUUCGUUUUUACAAAGGUUUCUGCUCCAUAAACAGUCCUGUUAACUUAGCAAUUUGGACUUCCGAAAUGUCCAAUUCGCCAAGUUAAAGAAGAUAUUUAAGAAGACUCGAAUUAUAAAUCCUAAAGAGAAGUACCUCACCUUAAAGGGCACACAAUUGAGUACCACAGGGCACAUCAGAUUCGUUUUUACACAGGUUUCUGCUCCAUGUACAGUCCUUUUAACUUAGCAAUUUUGACUUCCGAAAUGUCGAUUUCGCCAAGUUAGAGAAGAUAUUUAAGAAGACUCGAAUUAUAAAACCUAUAGAGAGGUAACUCACCUUAAAAGGCACACACUUGAGUACCACAGGGCACAUCAGAUUCAUUUUUACAAAGGUUUCUGCUCCAUAAACAGUCCUGUUAACUUAGCAAUUUUGACUUCCGAAAUGUCCAAUUCGCCAAGUUAAAGAAGAUAUUUAAGAAGACUCGAAUUAUAAAACCUAUAGAGAGGUACCUCACCUUAAAGGUCACACACUUGAGUACGACAGGGUACAUCAGAUUCGUUUUUACACAGGUUUCUGCUCCAUGUACAGUCCUUUUAACUUAGCAAUUUUGAUUUCCGAAAUAUCGAAAUCACCAAGUUAAAGACGAUAUUUAAGGAGACUCGAAUUAUGAAACCUACAAAGAGUUACCUCACCUCAAAGUGCACCCACUUGAGUACAUAUGGGUACAUCAGAUUCGUUUAUACACUGGUUUCUGCUCCGUGUACAGUCAAGUUAACUUACCAAUUUGGACUUCCGAAAUGGCAACUGAUGUACCUACCCACUUAAAAAAAUUUAGUAAUUACAAAUGUGCAGGUAGCUCAAUCCGGAUUGGUAGGUAUGUUACGAAAACCAUCCUGUAUGUCAUACAUGUGUCACAUCCGAGCUAUAUGACACCAGAUUUUUGCAGGUGCCAGCCCAAAUGGAGAAAAUGUGUUAUUCUUGGCAACUGAUGUACCUACCUUCUUAAAAAAGUAUAAUAAUUACAAAUGUACAGGUAGCUCAAUCCAGGUUCGUAGGUAUGUUACGAAAACCCUCCUGUAUGUCACAUAUGUGUCACAUGCGGGCUAUAUGACACCAGAUUUUUACAGGAGCCGGCCGAAAUAGAGAAAAUGUGUCAUUCUUGGCAACUGAUGUACCUACCUUCUUAAAAAAAUAUAAUAAUUACAAAUGUACAGGUAGCUCAAUCCAGGUUCGUAGGUAUGUUACGAAAACCAUCCUGUAUGUCACAUAUGUGUCACAUGCGGGCUAUAUGACAUCAGAUUUUUACAGGAGCCAGCCCAAACGGAGAAAAAGUGUCAUUCUUGGCAACUGAUGUACCUACCUUCUUAAAAAAGUAUAAUAAUUACAAAUGUACAGGUAGCUCAAUGCGGAUACUUAGGUAUGUUACGAAGACCCUCAUCUAUGUCACACAUGUGUCACUUACGGGCUAUAUGACACCAGAUUUUUACAGGAGCCAGCCGAAAUAGAGAAAAUGUGUCAUUCUUGGCAACUGAUGUACCUACCUUCUUAAAAAGGUAUAAUAAUUACAAAUGUACAGGUAGCUCAAUCCAGGUUCGUAGGUAUGUUACGAAAACCAUCCUGUAUGUCACAUAUAUGUCACAUGCGGGCUAUAUGACACCAGAUUUUUACAGGAGCCAGCCCAAACGGAGAAAAUGUGUCAUUCUUGGCAACUGAUGUACCUACCUUCUUAAAAAAGUAUAAUAAUUACAAAUGUACAGGUAGCUCAAUCCAGGUUCGUAGGUAUGUUACGAAAACCAUCCUGUAUGUCACAUAUGUGUCACUUACGGGCUAUAUGACACCAGAUUUUUACAGGAGCCAGCCCAAACGGAGAAAAUGUGUCAUUCUUUGCAACUGAUGUACCUACCUUCUUAAAAAAGUAUAAUAAUUACAAAUGUACAGGUAGCUCAAUCCAGGUUCGUAGGUAUGUUAGGAAAACCCUCAUCUAUGUCACACAUGUGUCACAUACGGGCUAUAUGACACCAGCUUUUCACAGGAGCCAGCCCAAACGGAGAAAAUGUGUCAUUCUUGGCAACUGAUGUACCUACCUUCUUUAAAAAGUACAUAAUUACAAAUGUACAGGUAGCUCAAUCCAGGUUCGUAGGUAUGUUACGAAAACCCUCCUGUAUGUCACAUAUGUGUCACAUGCGGGCUAUAUGACACCAGAUUUUCUCAGGAGCUAGCCCAAAUGGAGAAAAUGUGUCAUUCUUGGCAACUGAUGUACCUACCUACUUAAAAAAGUAUAAUAAUUACAAAUGUACAGGUAGCUCAAUCCAGGUUCGUAGGUAUGUUACGAAAACCCUCAUCUAUGUCACACAUGUGUCACAUACGGGCUAUAUGACACCAGCUUUUCACAGGAGCCAGCCCAAACGGAGAAAAUGUGUCAUUCUUGGCAACUGAUGUACCUACCUUCUUUAAAAAGUACAUAAUUACAAAUGUACAGGUAGCUCAAUCCAGGUUCGUAGGUAUGUUACGAAAACCCUCCUGUAUGUCACAUAUGUGUCACAUGCGGGCUAUAUGACACCAGAUUUUCUCAGGAGCUAGCCCAAAUGGAGAAAAUGUGUCAUUCUUGGCAACUGAUGUACCUACCUACUUAAAAAAAUAUAAUAUUUACAAUUGUACAGGUAGCUCAAUCCGGAUUGGUAGGUAUGUUACGAAAACCCUCAUCUAUGUCACACAUGUGUCACAUACGGGCUAUAUGACACCAGCUUUUCACAGGAGCCAGCCCAAACGAAGAAAAAGUGUCAUUCUUGGCAACUGAUGUACCUACCUUCUUAAAUAAGUAUAAUAAUUACAAAUGUACAGGUAGCUCAAUCCGGAUUGGUAGGUAUGUUACGAAAACCCUCAUCUAUGUCACACAUGUGUUACAUACAGGCUAUAUGACAUCAGAUAUUUACAGGAGCCAGCCCAAAUGGAUUCAAGAAUGGCGGAAAUCGUGUCCUCCAAAAACUUCCGGAACCUCUGUUCACUGAUGCCCAAUUGGUGGGGGCUUCGAAUUUUGUGAGGUUGGCUAGAACUUUAGGCUACCAAUCCCACAAGAUUGGGUGUGAAAAUGAAGGAAGGGGGAGGAACAAGAUUGGCAGCUGUGUGAGUGGUCAGUGUACACAGGCCACACUUAACCAUGUGAAACGCCUUGCACACACUGGCCUCUUACACAAGAAAGCUAUUCUUCUGGUGGGAACCAAUGAUGUGUUGGUGGGGACACAACAGCUGAAACUUAAAUCUGUUGUGAGGAGGCUCCUUCGAUUCAUGACCAUCAGGAGUCGAAGGAGUGUCCUCAUUUGUACCAUACCACCAUUUCCCCGUGUCUGGAAGGAUGCCAGUAAACAGAAACAGAUACUGGCAUUCAACGAAUUCCUGCACAAGGAUGUCGUGGCUGUAAACCAGCAAAUCUGCUACGACAGAACACUGAUGAACUGUAUGUAAUUAUUAAUUUACUAUUUCCAUUGUGUGGUAUAUAAGAAUGACAAAACAUUUUAAAUGAAUAAUAUUUGUGAUUAUAGAUUUACAAUGCUAUUACUCGAAAUAAAUGAGUGUGGCCUGACAUUCUUAUUAUUCACAUCAAUUUAAUUUCCCCCAAAAUAAACUAAUCAUGUUAUGAGAAUUUUUAUUUAAAAUAUGAAUCAAAAAUUUUGUUUGAAUUUAUAGUAGGCUAUGUGAUCAUAACAGUACAGUAAUAUUUCUAAAGAGACUAGAAAUUAAUGUUCACUCAGCAGUGGCGUGUGUAUUCAAGUCACUUAAACGAAAAUAACCUUGAACCCCUCUUAGCCAUUAGACACUGCCGGGGUUUUAAAGCAUUGUGUGUGUAAAGGGAAACUUUUUAAGCUGCUGGUUUUAUGUUUUCAGAUUUUAAAUCCUGUUAUCUAUUAAUAUGUCUGCCUGUGUUGUUUAUAUCUUAUCCUCUUAUUUUAUUUCCUUCCUGAAGUGUUGGGUCUCAUUCUUCUCGCUUCCAUGCAUAGCAACGUAUGACAUGGUCUUGCAUAUCUUCUUCAUUUUCAAUAGAACGUACCUUUGAGCUGCCCUCAAGGUCAUUUCAAUGUGCGUGUUUUAAUAUUGUUAUUUAGCUGUUCAAAAGGUUUUUUUUAUGUAUGAUGUAUUUCGUGUGUGGGAAAAAACUUAAAUUAUUGUCUAGUGUUACUCCCAAGUAUAGGUAUUGUUUUACAAAUUUGAGACUUAUGCUGUUGUAUUUCAUGUGUGGUGGUCGUUUGUAUAGGUCUCCUUUGACUUGUAGGGCAACCGUUUUUGCGGUUGCUAUGGUUAAUUUAUUAGUUCCCAUCCGUAUGUGUGUGUUUUCCAUAGCUUUGUUUGCUAUUGUCUGUAAUUCUUGUCUGCUGUUACCGUGUGCUAUGUUGUUGGCAUAUCCAAUUGUUUUGACUUUGUUUUGUUUUGUUCCGCCCACGAAAUAUUUGUAGAUUACUAUGUUUCAUAGUGUGGGCCCUAGUACCGAACCCUGUGGGCAUCCCAUAUUCAUAUGUCUUUCAAGUAUUCAAGUCACUAUAGGAAUUUAAACAUUUUCACAUUUCAGGUACCCGUUCAUUAUGUGAAGCUGCUUAAGUAAUUCAUAUUCUGGUUUUCACAGGCCACACUCCAGCAGCACUUGUUGAUCUUUUCCAAGAAUUUUCAGAGAAUGGACAACCUAAGUGGGAAUUCUUUGACAGGGCUGGCAGACAGCCCCACAUGGCCACUGACGUCACGUGGCCGCUGCUGAUGUGAGACAUACCACGCGAGUCUCACGUCAUGUGGCCGCUGCUGACGUGAGACAUACCACGCGUGCCUGGCGGAUUACAAGGGUCGUCACUUCUCCCCUCCGCUCCCCGCCUCGGUGCCGCUACCUGGCAUCUGGCAGCAAUGGGAAAUCCAGCGCGAGCUGCCGAUGCGCUUCUCAACAGUUCGGGCGUCGGGUCGGUGCGGAAUGACGUGACUGGCCCCAGUCGCGUUCGUGACUUCUAGAAGUGGCGCCUGGGCCUUAAUAAGCCCGGGACACCAGCCUAUGGGGAGUUUUUCCAGGGCGAGAGAGUCUCAGUGAUAGUGCAGCGGGUGCGGCGAGAGUCCCGAGCGGAACCUCUGCGAAGGGAAGUGCAACGGCGGCGACGGAGGUCCACGAGGGGUGCCGCGGCCCAGCGAGGUGCGGCCCAGCGAGGUGUGCGGUGUGUAAGAACCGAGUGGUUGGGGAACAAACAUUUUUAAGUGUAAUUGAUUAUUAGGCAUUUUUAUAAGAUUAUUUUUUAGUGAUGUAAAUAUUGGUAAUCAAUGAAACUAUGUAUUGUAGUAAAAUCUUUAAUUGGGCUAUCCAUUUACGAACCCAGUAGUUUUCCCACUGCGAUUAUUGUUUUAAUAAUAGUAACGAUAUGUAACAUUUCGUACAUUUUAUGUAUUUGUUUUUCUUUAUGAAUUUUUGUUUCUGUGUUUUUAUGUUGUGCCCACCAAACAAGUUCUCUAGCUGUCAGUGGGAAUGUUACAAAUGUAAAUAAAUAAAUAAAUUUCCUACUUCACUU